GGAUCUUUAGCUCAAAUGGUAGAACACCUGGGAAUGCAAUAUGUUUCUAAUGCAUCUCAAGAGAUAGUGGUUCAAAUCCACCAAGAUCCU